AGAUUGACCGGUAAAUCGAGAGCUUCGCCUUGCGGCUCAGCUCUUUCUUCACCACGACAGACCGAUACAUCGACCGCAUUACUGCAGUCGCUGCACCGAUCAGUCUGUCAGAUUUUGGGCUUCACUUGGAUAUUUGGGAAGGUUACCAGAAUAUUGCAGCCCUGGUUUGUAUUGAUCAUAAAUGGCUUGUCCAGUCUGACUGUAAUUUGUGUUAACUUUGGAACAAUGUUUUUAUAUAUAAUUAACCUUUAUUUCAGCAUACUGAUUCAAUAAUUAGUUUGGUUUCUUAUUUGACCUAUACACCACAAUUUCACAUUGCCUAAUAUAAAUAUUUACAGAAUAGUUUUAUUCUUCCGAUUAUCAGUAUCAGCUAUUCAAAAUAUAUAAUUUAGUGCAUUUUACAAUGGAAGAAAGUUGAGCAGAAUUGCGUUCAAGUUAUCGUUGGUGUGGCCCGCUGACACAAUUCAGGUUUCUCAUGUGGCCCCUUGUGAAAAUUAAUUUGCCUGCCCCUGGUCUAAAGUAUAAUUCUUCAGUUGUGAACAACCUCAGCAUAGCCAGACCUUGGGCAGUGGUGAUAUUCCUAAAAGCCAUUUGAAUAAUUGUAGGUUGCUUUCUUUACAUCACUUCUGGUUAAUCUUUGUCCACAAUACUUUUUUUCAGAAUUCUGUAGACUUACUUUUUAGCCAACUGUAACAUCUGUAUUUUGAUAUUUAGGCUAUAACUUGUUGUUUGCAUCUUGUAAUUCACCUUUACUUAUGCCGUGUUUUGUAUUUCUCUUAUAAGGAUGGUGUGGCUGACAGCUAGCUCAAUGCAUGGAGAUGAAUUCGAACCAAUCAUGUGAAGUGAAACCUGCAGCCUUUCCCCUUUUGCACCCUCUGAGUUCCAAAGCCAGAUUCGUAGCAUAAAAGACAUAUCGUUGGGAUGUCCUUGUUAUGUCUGGAACACAUGUCCAAUCGUAAGGUGAGACAGAACAGCACAACUUGAAAUUGAAUCUUGAGCCUUGUGCCCAAAACAACAGACCUGAGGCACAGAGGCACUCACUGCUAGAAGGAAAUGAGACUUUCUGUCAAAGUAUGUAUAGCAUCAUGUUAGAGGCAGAGAGGCCUUUGGUCCUCUAUGUCAACAGACAGGGACAACAGGACAGUGUGCCAGGUGAGGGGACAGGACCAGGGAGAAACUUCACACUUAAAUGUAGACUUUGACAUGCAUUGGGAUAGAGGUUGUGCAAUUUUGGCUCAAAAUGCUGUGGGAAGUCGAAACGUGUAACUAAAAUGUAGUGGCUAAAUUAAGAUUCAAGUUAAAAUUCAGGUGGGAGGUCGAAAGAUGCAUUGAAUGGGUGAAAUGAAAAUUGUACUGGAGAAAACAGGACUAUAUUGGGAGGGUGCCAACCAUGUCCUGUCGACCAGGAACACGGGUGAAGAACUCGUAAAGACCCUGGUUCUUGUGAUAGGAGCAACAACUGAUUCAUUACGGGCCCCUGCAGUUGUUCCCAAUGGACGACACAACAGCUCUACGUCUCAGGAAAGGACUUUUAAAUCCAGGCCAGCCACUGCCGACCAGGUCGAGACCACCAGCCCAGGACAACAUCCCAGCUCCAGGAACGACAAGAAUCAGUGCAACGGAAACAACCAGACCACUCGGUACCAUGAAGGCAGAGCAUCAGGUAUAACACCCAGCCGAUCAAGUGGUAAUAGAGAACAGUGACGAGUGGUAACUGAAACUCCCCGAGACGUUAUUAUGGAUGUUCAUCACCCAUCGCUUCCAACCCGCUCCUGGAUACCAGGACAUGCCGUUAAGGGAAAACCCUCGCUGACUGGUUUCAGCUGAUUCCCCACUUACACUGACAUGCAAGUUUUGAAGCCUGGUGUUUUCACAAUGGUAUACAUCAAACCCAGAAGGGGCCUUGGGUCAGGUGUGGCAUGUCAGCGACCAAUGCAUGCACAAGAAAGCUUUGCGAUAGUCCAGAAGAUCAAGAAAGAAAACCAGUGGCUGGAAAGUGUAACAAAAACAAAUAUUUCUACUUUGUGUAAUCAUUGAUUACUGAAAUGACUUGUGUUAAUCAAACAUCAUUAAUAUCUGUGCCAAGGUAGCUUAAGUGAAGUAAUUGUCACAUCCCAGUCCUCAUGACAUGAGUUUAAUGCCUUAUUAGAGAAUGAAUUUUCUUACAAUUUGGAUAAUCAAAUUAGGUGUUUGUCCAUAAAUUGACAAAAGGGGAGAAUUGUAGAGGAUCUAUUUGUUUUAAAUAUAGGCACCCAUGUAUUACAUUGUUUGCUUGUUAUCUCGGUUUGUCUGUCAGUUUCAUUAUGAACACCGAUAAGCCUCGGUAUGAAUUGUAUUAUGUUUAUUUAUUAAAACCUGCUAAACUGCUAUCGAAAAUCAAGUGUAAUAAAUGGACAGUGUUAGAAUAGACUAGGCCGGAAAUUGCUUUGAACUGCUCACUGAAGCCAAGGAUGUGGUUUGUUUUCUUUCUUGUGUGUAUCUUGAGCGGAAUUAAUAAUACUUCGGGAACUGAUAAGGGGUUUAUAAAAAGGUAAAAAUCUACAAUGUGACUUCGAAACAACACGACACUGCUUUUUGACUUGUUCCACGCGGGUUGAAUAAAGUUAAAAUAAUCAA